UUGCAGAAGGAGUUGUCUUCUCCUGGCAUGGUGGGCUUUUUCUGCUGCGAUGUAGCAUGCAAAUACUGGCCAUAUUUGCAGAAAGUUGUGCAGGCUUGUCCAGAGUCGGGGGAGCUUCUAAAAAUGCACCCUCUCCUAUCUGUUAUCCAUCAAUCAAUCAAAUGUAUUUAUAAAGCCCUUCUUAUGUCAGCUGAUGUCACAAAGUGCUGUACAGAAACCCAGCCUAAAACCCCAAACAGCAAGCAAUGCAGGUGUAGAAGCACAGUGGCUAGGAAAAACUCCCUAGAAAGGCCAGAACCUAGGAAGAAACCUAGAGAGGAACCAGGCUAUGAGGGGUGGCCAGGUGGGUGGAGAUUAUAACAGAACAUGGCCAAGAUGUUCAAAUUUUCACAGAUGACCAGCAGGGUCAAAUAAUAUUAUGCAUGCGAAGGCGCAUGAACGGGCUUGUGAGGUAAUUGUUUUCCUUCAUGACGGUUUUUGUGUUAUGUAGAAAGGACACUGUAAUGCUUUUUAAAAGAAUAGAAUGAAUGUAACAUUAAAAUAUUUAUAUAUUUGUUCAUUUUGGCAUUAUAUUAUAGUCGAGCAGGUGAGUAGUUUUAUAAUCAGAGCUGCUGUCACGACAAAGUGCAUGUCCAAGGCUGAUAAGUGUAUUAUUAUAACAUAACAAAUGCUGAAGAAGGUUAAAGAUUGCAACAUAAUUCCCUUAAUAAUGUUUAACUAUUAAGUGGUCUUCAUAUUUUAGCUCCAGCACACUUCAAUUAAGAAGAUCAAACUAAUUGCCCCUCUCCAUGCCACGGUGGAGAGACUUGUGUACCUCAAUUACCCUGAGUGCUAAGCCGGAAGGGGGUUUAUAGCCCCGGCAGGUGCAACCAAGCCGGCCAGGUUAAAGGGUAGGAGGCAGACAAAGCAGUCCAUGGUCCUCCAUGUCGGAGGUUGGGCUUGGGGCUAACUACCCCACCCCGGAAAAACUGAAACAUUGACAUAUGGAAACCAAAUAAACUGCCCCAAAGCAGAACAUUUUCUUGGACACAUGUUACUGCUGAAGGGAGAAGCUUACAGUGAAGGACAUUUACUUUUGGGCUUACUUGAUGAUGCUAUGACGAUAUUAUGUUAUGCUAUGUUAAUGAUGUUAUUGUUGUUGUUUUUUAAAAUCUUACACUUGACUGAAAUGGCAGUUUUUAUGUUGAUUGGUUAGGCACACAGUAGUAAUUUAUUAGAAUAACUGACUGAAGAUGUUUUUCCAACAGUGCGCACAUAUUUUAUCACACAACUGGCAAUGGGCUAGAAUAAGAGGACGUUUGCCAACAUGGAUUGCAUGUUGGUAAAGAUAUAUAUGAAGGUAUUGGGGGGGGGGGGGCUUUCAUAAAAAAUAUAUAUUUGACCUGCUUUCUCAUUAUUGUUUAUCUAUUUAUACAUGUCUAAUAUUCUUUCUGCAAUCCUGGCUCAGCUUUUUAAUAUUUGUACAAGUCAUCUUGAUGUAGGAAAAGCUGGACAUAAACGAAGCUGUGCUUCAGGAGUGGGUUGCUGAGGUCCAGCAGUGACCUGAAAGUAUGUUCGGUUCUGAACAAAUAGAGCAUAUGGCCCACCCCGAAAACCAUCUGACUACAGUCCUAUCCCAUACUAUGUUACCAACAGGUUCUAAUUUUUCAAGUGAAUCAUACUAAAAUAUUUGACUUUAAGCAGUGUCUUCUCUCUUCAACUGCUAACUUUAUCUCGAGUUGAGUUCCACUUCCCUCAUUGCCCUAGUUUCUCAGCAACUGGCGUGCCUUAUCAGGAAGUGAAACUAGACUGCUCCCCUUUGUCUCCUUCCUUAGAAAUAUCAAUAUUCAGCAGAAUAUUAAUAUUUGAACAGAAAAUGAAAAUUCUUCACAUCCCCUUGCCUCACUCAGUAACUUUCCAUGCACACAGUUCCUAUUAACUCUCAAUUGUCCCCUAACAUAUACAUUUCUUAUACAUGUAAAGUCAUCAAUACAUUCUAAUAUGAUGACAGGAAUAACUAUAUUUCAAGCCAGAAUCCAACAUGUAGAAAAGUGAAUGUUUCUCUGUCUCUCAACUUCAUAAUUGUAUUGAUGUCAGUGGAGUCAUGUUUGUAACUUGUCCUAUGUUUGACAGCCAACCUUCAGGAUAGUCAGACAGGGCAUCUCCAGAAGAAGAUUGAGGGGCAUUACCUCAUUGUGAAACAGAGGAAACACUACCUCUACCAUUUAACAGACGGCAACAAGAGAAGGCAUCAGAUUCUGAGAAAAAUUGUUGAGGACAAGGCAGCCUUGACAACUGCCAUUGUUCAACUUCCCACACAGUAGGCAGAGUUUAGGCUCCCCACAGUGGAUGAGCUGCUCAAUACUGACAACUUUUUGUGGCCACGGGUGAGACCUCGCACCAGUAAGUUUAUGAUUACAGAAGGUACAGUAUCUAUUGUGACUGAAAUUUUACCUUCAGUGUAGGCUGCAAUCAUUGCUGUUGUUCUACUAUAUACCUCUGCGAGUUUACAUCUCACAGGCAACAGCCAUCUUGCCAUCAAAAAGGCCAUCUUCGACAGACUGAUGUUGGUGAACGGACUGCAGGAGGAAGAGAGGAUCCUGGUGCAGGAGAUGAAGAGGCACUGGGGAGCCUACAAAGAGCAGCGGGAACUCUGGAGGCACUGUCCAUACAGCUGCAAGAUCAGAGCAAUGCAGUGGAGUUGUCAGAGGGAGGAAUCUUCCUCCUGAAGAGAAGAUUGAGUGAACUGACACAAGACCAAGACAACACCAGGAACACCUAUCAAAAGCUGAUUCUGGGAGAAGGGGCUAUUUUUAAUGACUCUGAUGCAAAUGAAAACUCAGAUGAAGAUAGAAGUCCUAUUGCUGAGAGCUCAGAUGGUGACUGCUAUGCUUUCUGAAUUCAUACACCACCCCGCCCUCGUUCUCUCGGACUCUCUCUCUCCCGCAGGAGAGGGGGAAGGCUGCCACCACCUCCCUCAUGAGCAGCCAGGGUUCCAACAUUGACCCCUGACCCCUUGUCUUCUGAACGCAUCCAGGGAAAUGUAUUUUGCCUGAUGAUGGUCUAGUGGAGAUUUGUUGCCAUGUUUCCUCUCCUCACCUCCUCCCCUUCCGGUCCUAGACUAUGGCGACAUCAUCAGCAACUCAGAAUGUUGGUUGAGGAUCCCUUUACUGAGGAAUGUGGUUGUUCUUCAUGAUUAAAAAUAUCUAUAUAUUUUCUAUGCUGCUGGGAUUAUGAUUUUUUUGUGUUUUGAGUUGCAAAAGAGUCCUAGGUCUCAAUGGGUCUGCUAAAAUAAAUAAAGAAAGUAAAGGUCUUGAUAAAUAAAUGCAUUAAGCACUAA